rnacentral:rRNA from 1 species
UCCUCCCUCUGGCGGCGUGCUUAACACAUGCAAGUCGAACGGAAAGGCCCUGCUUUUGUGGGGUGCUCGAGUGGCGAACGGGUGAGUAACACGUGAGUAACCUGCCCUUGACUUUGGGAUAACUUCGGGAAACUGGGGCUAAUACCGGAUAGGAGCUCCUGCUGCAUGGUGGGGGUUGGAAAGUUUCGGCGGUUGGGGAUGGACUCGCGGCUUAUCAGCUUGUUGGUGGGGUAGUGGCUUACCAAGGCUUUGACGGGUAGCCGGCCUGAGAGGGUGACCGGCCACAUUGGGACUGAGAGACGGCCCAGACUCCUACGGGAGGCAGCAGUGGGGAAUAUUGCACAAUGGGCGGAAGCCUGAUGCAGCAACGCCGCGUGCGGGAUGACGGCCUUCGGGUGGUAAACCGCUUUCGCCUGUGACGAAGCGUGAGUGACGGUAAUGGGUAAAGAAGCACCGGCUAACUACGU